rnacentral:rRNA from 1 species
UACGUAUGGUGCAAGCGUUAUCCGGAUUUACUGGGUGUAAAGGGGGCGUAGGCGGCGCGUUAAGUCUGAUGUGAAAACCCGAGGCUCAACCACGGGAGUGCAUUGGAAACUGGCGGGCUGGAGUGCCGGAGAGGUAAGCGGAAUUCCUAGUGUAGCGGUGAAAUGCGUAGAUAUUAGGAGGAACACCAGUGGCGAAGGCGGCUUACUGGACGGCAACUGACGCUGAGGCUCGAAAGCGUGGGGAGCAAACAGG